rnacentral:snRNA from 1 species
GUGCUUGCUUCAGCAGCACAUAUACUAAAAUUGAAAUAAUACGUUAAAGAUGAGCAUGACCCUUGCACAAGGAUGACACACAAAUUUGUGAAGCAUCCCUUAUUUCU